GGUGAACGCUGGCGGCGUGCUUAAGACAUGCAAGUCGAACGGGCUCUUCGGAGCCAGUGGCGCACGGGUGAGUAACGCGUAACUGACCUACCCCAAAGUCGCGGAUAACGAUUCGAAAGAAUCGCUAAUACGUGAUGUGCUGUCAGAUCCUGUUCUGCCAGUAAAGAUUUAUUGCUUUGGGAUGGGGUUGCGUUCCAUCAGCUAGUUGGUGGGGUAAAGGCCCACUAAGGCGACGACGGAUCGCCGGCCUGAGAGGGUGGCCGGCCACAGGGGCACUGAGACACGGGUCCCACUCCUACGGGAGGCAGCAGUUAGGAAUCUUCCACAAUGGGCGAAAGCCUGAUGGAGCGACGCCGCGUGAGGGAUGAAGGUCGUCGGAUCGUAAACCUCUGAAUCAGGGACGAAAGACGCGAAAGCGGGAUGACGGGACCUGAGUAAUAGCACCGGCUAACUCCGUG
rnacentral:rRNA from 1 species